rnacentral:ncRNA from 1 species
ACAUGAGAGGUGUAGCAUAAGUGGGAGAUGGCAACAUCGCCGGUAAAUAUCACUACUUUCAUCGUUUCCUUACUUACUCGGUUAGGCGGAACGCGUGCUCCGAGGUCCUCGUGCUCCGGCGGUAACGGUGUUCUAGAACCAAGCGUGUCAGAGUGGCGAGAGGCCUAGGCCGAUCGCCGUUAAUACUCCCGCGUGAUCCGAUUCGAGGACACUGUUAGGCGGGGAGUUUGACUGGGGCAGUACAUCAAUCACAGAAUAACGCAGGUGUCAUAA